ensembl:lncRNA
AAUUAAAUAAAAUAUAAAUAAUAAAAAUGCCUAUUAUAGGACAGAAUAAAUAUAGAGAUGAUAGAAACACAUAUGUAGAUGGUUUGUAUAUUUAAAAUAAACAGAACAUAUAAAUAAUCUGCAUAGAAUAAAAAAAAAAAAAAAAAAAAUAGACAUAGUAGGAUAAUUCUGCCAAUUAGUGUUUUUUUAAAAAAAAACAAAAUAAAACAACAUAUUAUACAAAUAAAACUGAAUUAUAUGUUAAAAUAAGACAUAUAUAUAUGCACUACAUACAUACAUAAUAACCGCUCUUUACACUCUUGUUUUUAUUUCAUUUUUUAGGUGAAAAGAAUUAUAAAAGAAAAUCAAUUGAUGAGCCAGAUGAUUAUGAUUUAGAAGAAUUAAUUUAUUUAAACAAUGUAAGAAAUAAUUUACAGACUAAUAAUAAUGAAAACGUAUAUGUUGAUGUUGAAUUAGGUUCAACGCGUAUCAAUGCCAUCGGAAUAAAUCUAGAAAAUAAUAGCAACACAAAAAAACAUGAAACUAAAGAAUCACAUAAUAUUAAAAAUGAACUUACAAUAGAAUCCCCUUUAAAUGAAAAAGUAAGUAUCUUGUCAGUAUGUUAGAAUAUUAUAACUGUUCUUAUAAUUUGCUCCAUUUUUUUUUUUUUUUUUUUUGUAUUUUGUAAAAAUAUUGUUUUUAUAUUUUAUAACAUUCUAUAUGUCCACUACACAUAUAUACAUAUAUGUAAAUUUUUGCACAUUUUUACAGCAAAGGUAUCAAUUAACGUUAAUAAAAAAUGGUAAUCCGUCUUGCCCCAAACGGCUAAAUAUAUUAGAAAAUAACAGUAAUGCAGAAGUUAAACUAAAACAUACCCCUAACUAUGAACAGAGAGUGUGCGAACCUACUCAUACACUUAAUUAUGAUCAAAGAGUGUUCAAACCUACACAUACACUUAACCGUGAUGAAAGAGUGUGUGGAUAUACACAUACACUUAACCAUGAUGAGAAAGUAAGUGGAUUUACAUAUAUACCAGUUCAAGAACAAAAAUCGUGCGAACAAGAAUGUACUAAAAAUAAAAUAGAUGCAAGUUCCAUCAAAGAAAAUGCAAAUGAACUAAGUAACAUUCAAAAAUUGGACAUAACGAAACCAAAUUUAUUAAUAAAACUAAGAAAUGAGAAUGAUGACAAAAAGAUAAACGAAAAAGAUGAUUAUAAAUUAAUUGAUCCGAAAUUAUUUAAUGUAAAUAAAAAAAAUAAUGUCCUAAAUGACAUUUUGACAAAAUCUGAAAAUUUUCUCACGAACAAAAAUAUAAUAAGCGAGGAAUAUAUUGAAUUAAAAAAUAAUGGUCAAAAUAAUAAACAAAAAAAUAGUUUAAAUUAUGAAGAAAAACCAAAAAAAAAAACUAUUGAAAGUGAGAGUUAUUAUAACAAUGAUACUAAAAAAUCAACAUCAACAAAUAGAAACAACAUGUAUAUUCAAAAUAAAGAAGUAGAAUCAUAUAAUAAUAAGAAUAAACAAAAUAAUAAAAUAUAUAAAAAAUUAAACGAUAGUGGUAUAAAUAAUUUGAACAUUAAAAAAGGUUUGCAUGUGACCACAGAUAACACAUUUAUGUCUAAUGGUAAUAUAUGUGAAAAUGAGCUUAAGCAAAAAAAAAACAUGAAUUUUAUAAAUUUUGAUAAUAAUAAUGAUAACGAUAAUGAAUAUAUUAAUGAAUAUGAUGGCAAAGGCGAUAACGAAGGCGAUGAAGAAGGAGAUGAAGAAGGAGAUGAAGAAGGAGAUGAAGAAGGAGAUGAAGAAGGAGAUGAAGACCAUGGACAAAUCUACGAACAAGAUGAUGAAGAAUGUGAUGAAGGAGAUGACGAUGAAGGCGAUGAACAAGAUGACGAUGAAGGUGACGAACAAGAUUAUGACGAAUGUUAUGAAGAAGGUCAUGACAAAGAAGGCAAAGGAGACGAUAGCGUAGACGGUGACGAAGACAAUAAUGACAAAAACAACAAUAAGGACAAGAGUAAGAAAAAUCAUAAUGACAUAAAUAAAUACGGUUAUUACGGCAUUGACAAUGAUAAGACUGCUGAUUAUUAUGAUAAAAAACGUAUUGAUUAUAAUAAUUUAGAUAAAAAUAGAAAGGAUAUAUUUUUAAAAAAGGAAAAAGUAUUGGAUGAUGAUUUAAUAAUUUACCAAAGAGAUAAUUACCAUAAAAAUAGAGCAAUAAAAAAUAUUAAUGAACAAAUUAAUAUAAAACCAUAUGAAAUAAAAAUUAAGAACGAACUCGGUAAUAAAAAAGAUUUUGAUCUAAGUUCAUCAUAUCAUCAUACAAAUAGUAACAAUAAUAAUAAUAAUAAUAAUAAUAAUGAUUAUGAAAAUAUAAAUAAAAUUACCAUAACAAAAAAGGGAGUAAAUAAUUUAAACAAUAGUAAAGGGCCAUGUAACAACACCCAGAUGAAUACUAUAUAUAAUAAAAAAGGUAUGCAAGAAAAAUAUAUUAUUAAUGUCAGCACAGCUAUUGAAAAUAAGCAAGAUGUAAAAAUUGUAAAUAUAAACAAAACGAUAACAAAUAAUACAAAAACACUAGGAAAAAACAGUUAUACUGAUAAAACGUUAAAUACUAGCACUAGUACUAACACUAGUAUUAGCACUAGUACUAAUAGUGUAUCCCGUAACCAUGGGGUAAAUAAAAUCAUAAAUAAAAACCCUGCCAACUUAAAUGUUAGUUCUAAAUUAAAAAAUGAUAAAGGUAUAACUUAUCUUAAAUAUGAAGAGAUAACAGAUUUUCAAUAUGAAAUAAAUAAUGAUAACUUAAAUGAUAUGAUUACAAAAUUAGUUGAAAUUACAAAAGAUCAAGAAUGGACUGAACAAAUAGAUAAUUUAAUUAAUCUUAGAAUUAUUUUAAAAUAUCAUGAAAAAUUAUUUUUUGACAAUUUUAAAAAAGAUUUAAGAAAAAUAUGUAGAGCAAUCAUAGAAUUAGUUAAUAGUGCAAGAUCAAGCGUUUCAAAAAAUGCUUUAUUAUGUUUAUCUGAAUUCUAUUCUAUUGGCAAAAAAAGAAUGGACAGCACGUUAGAUGAUGUUAUUAUGCCUUGUUUAAAAAAAGCGUAUCAAACAUCUAUUGAUUUUUUAAGUAGUUCUGCAAAUAAUACAUUGCUGGCUAUUUGUAAUGCAUGUAGUGAAGCAAAAUUAAUUUCCCAUUUUGUUAAGAUCGCCACGGCAAAACAAAAAACAUAUAAUUUAAUAUGCCUGAAAUGCUUAAUCGCUGUAAUUAUCAAAUUCGAAAGUGGUAUUUCUCAAUAUAAGGAAAUGAAUAAGUUAAUAGAAGCACUAUUGGAGUGUACGUCAUAUGGAAGUGCCGAAAUAAAGUGUACAGCGAGAGUUGCUUUGGUUGUAUUGGACAAUAUAUGCCCAAUCAAACCCUUAGGUAAUAAAUUGCAUAUAUCUGUGGAUAAAAUUAACAAGGUAAGAAGAAAAAACAAAAAUUCAAAUUUUUUAUACACUAGCUAUUUUACUU